AUGGAAAUGGUUUAAGGGAUGUUUGGGUGCUCUAGAUGGAACGUAUAUUAAGGUCAAUGUAUCUUCAAUCGAUAAACCUAGGUACAGAACAAGAAAAAAUGAAAUUGCGACAAAUGUACUUGGUGUUUGCACACCAAACAUGCAAUUCAUUUAUGUUUUACCUGGGUGGGAAGGUUCUGCAGCUGAUGGUAGAAUACUCAGAGAUGCCAUUAGUAGAAGAAAUGGUUUAAAUGUUCCACAAGGGUGUUACUACUUAUGUGAUGCUGGAUACACGAAUGGAG